UACGUAUGGUGCAAGCGUUAUCCGGAUUUACUGGGUGUAAAGGGAGCGCAGGCGGCACGGCAAGCCUGAUGUGAAAGCCCGCGGCCCAACCGCGGGACUGCAUUGGGAACUACCGGGCUGGAGUGCCGGAGAGGCAGGCGGAAUUCCUAGUGUAGCGGUGAAAUGCGUAGAUAUUAGGAGGAACACCAGUGGCGAAGGCGGCCUGCUGGACGAUGACUGACGUUGAGGCUCGAAAGCGUGGGGAGCAAACAGG
rnacentral:rRNA from 1 species